rnacentral:rRNA from 1 species
GAUUUCUGGUGUGGUGCGGGUGGCCCGCCGCCGUCAGGCGCGUGAGUGCCGCCGUUGCGCCUACCAUCCUUCCGGAGAGCCGCCCCUGCCCUUCACUGGGCCGGGGGUGUCUUGCGAUCCGGAUCGUUUACUUUGAAAAAAUUAGAGUGUUUAAAGCAGGCAGUUUGCCGUGAAUACAUUAGCAUGGAAUAAUGAGAUAGGACUUUGGUUCUAUUUUGUUGGUUUCUAGGACUGAAGUAAUGAUUGAUAGGGACAGUUGGGGGUGCUAGUAUUUAACGGCCAGAGGUGAAAUUCAUGGAUUCGUUAAAGACUAACUAAUGCGAAAGCAUU